AGGACGAACGCUGGCGGCGUGCUUAACACAUGCAAGUCGAGCGGAAAGGCCCUUCGGGGUACUCGAGCGGCGAACGGGUGAGUAACACGUGAGCAACCUGCCCUUAGCUCCGGGAUAGCUCCGGGAAACCGGAAUUAAUACCGGAUACGACCACGGCCGACAUCUGCUGUGGUGGAAAGGAUUCCGGCUAAGGAUGGGCUCGCGGCCUAUCAGCUAGUUGGUGGAGUAACGGCCCACCAAGGCGACGACGGGUAGCCGGCCUGAGAGGGCGACCGGCCACACUGGGACUGAGACACGGCCCAGACUCCUACGGGAGGCAGCAGUUGGGAAUAUUGCGCAAUGGGCGAAAGCCUGACGCAGCGACGCCGCGUGGGGGAUGAAGGCCUUCGGGUUGUAAACCCCUUUCAGCAGGGACGAAGCGAAAGUGACGGUACCUGCAGAAGAAGCGCCGGCUAACUACGCGCCAGCAGCCGC
rnacentral:rRNA from 1 species